GACAGAGGCCUCAAGCGUUAGGCGGAAUCACUGGGCUUAAAGCGUGUGUAGGCGGAUGCCUAAGUACCUUGUGAAAUCCCACGGCUCAACCGUGGAACUGCUGGGUAUACUGGGCGUCUUGGGCCAUUCAGGGGCGACUGGAACAAGCGGUGGAGCGGUGAAAUGCGUAGAUAUCGCUUGGAACGCCGGAAGGUGAAAACAGGUCGCUGGGGAUGUGCCGACGCUGAGACACGAAAGCCAGGGGAGCAAACGGG
rnacentral:rRNA from 1 species